rnacentral:rRNA from 1 species
UCCGGUUGAUCCUGCCGGACCCUACUGCUAUCGGGGUGGGACUAAAACAUGCGAGUCAAACGUCUUACAGCUACGAGUGAGAUGUGGCAUACGGCUCAGUAACACGUGGCUAACCCAACCUCGAGAUGGAAACAAUCCCGGGAAACUGGGGCUAAUCUCCAAUAGAUGAGAAACCCUGGAAUGGUUUUUCGUUCAAAAGGUGUCGCGAUCAUGCUUUGCGACAAUGCUCGAGGACGGGGCCGCGUCCGAUCAGGUAGUUGGUGAGGUAACGGCUCACCAAGCCUAUAACCGGUCCGGGCCGUGGGAGCGGGAGCCCGGAGAUGGGCACUGAGACAAGGGCCCAGGCCCUACGGGGCGCAGCAGUUGCGAAAACUCCGCAAUACACGUAAGUGUGACGGGGCUACCCCGAGUGCUGUCCGCUGAGGAUGGCUUUUCUUUGCUGUAGGAAUGCAGAGGAAUAAGGAGAGGGCAAGUCUGGUGUCAGCCGCCGCGGUAAUACCAGCUCCCCAAGUGGUAGGGAUGAUUAUUGGGCUUAAAGCGUCCGUAGCCGGCUCGACAAGUCUCUCGUUAAAUCCAACGAUCUAAUCGUUGGACUGCGGGAGAUACUGCUGGGCUAGGAGGCGGGAGAAGCCGACGGUAUUCCCGGGGUAGGGGUAAAAUCCUAUAAUGCCGGGAGGACCACCAGUGGCGUAGGCGGUCGGCUAGCACGUGCUCGACGGUGAGGGACGAAAGCUUGGGGAGCGAACCGGAUUAGAUACCCGGGUAGUCCAAGCUGUAAACGAUGCGGGCUAGGUGUUGAAGCGGCUACGAGCCGCUUCAGUGCCGCAGGAAAACCAUUAAGCCCGCCGCCUGGGGAGUACGGCCGCAAGGCUGAAACUUAAAGGAAUUGGCGGGGGAGCACCACAAGGGGUGGAGCUUGCGGUUUAAUUGGAGCAACGCCGGGAACCUUACCAGGGGCGACAGCAGAAUGAAAGCCAGAUUAAAGGUCUUGCUAGACGAGCUGAGAGGAGGUGCAUGGCCGUCGCCAGUUCGUGCCGUGAGGUGUCCUGUUAAGUCAGGCAACGAUCGAGACCCACACCCCCUGUUGCUACCGAGGAGUAUUCCAAGGAGCACUCUGGGGGGACUGCCAACGAUAAGCUGGAGGAAGGAGUGGGCUACGGCAGGUCAGUAUGCCCCGAAUCCUCUGGGCCACACGCGAGCUGCAAUGGUCGGGACAAUGGGUUCCAACCCAGAAAUGGGAAGGUAAUCCCGAAACCCGGCCUCAGUUGGGAUCAAGGGCUGAAACCCGUCCUUGUAAACAUGGAAUCCCUAGUAAUCGCGCGUCAUCAGCGCGCGGUGAAUACGUCCCUGCUCCUUGCACACACCGCCCGUCGUUCCACUCGAGUGAGGUUUGGAUGAGGCGUGGUCUUCUAGGCUGCGUCGAAUCCAAGUUUCGCGAGAGGGGAAAAGUCGUAACAAGGUG